UACAUAGGGUGCAAGCGUUAUUCGGAAUUACUGGGCGUAAAGCGUUCGUAGACGGUCAUGUAAGUCGGGUGUGAAAGCCCCGGGCUCAACCUGGGAAUUGCAUUCGAGACUGCAUGGCUAGGGUGCGGAAGAGGGGAGCGGAAUUUCCGGUGUAGCGGUGAAAUGCGUAGAUAUCGGAAGGAACACCAGUGGCGAAAGCGGGUUCCUGGGCCGGCACCGACGUUCAGGCACGAAAGCGUGGGGAGCAAACAGG
rnacentral:rRNA from 1 species